rnacentral:tRNA from 1 species
GCCCGGAUGGCGGAAUUGGUAGACGCGCUGGACUCAAAAUCCAGUGAUAGCAAUAUCGUGUGGGUUCGAUUCCCACUCCGGGUACAA